rnacentral:lncRNA from 1 species
GGGCUCAGGGAGAUGGCAGGGGGACAUCAUGGCUUUGGAGGUGCCUCCAGAGCUGCCAGCUCAAAGCCCGGGUGGGAGCGAGGCAUCUCUUGGGGGUCUCUGUUCUACAGAGCACAGACCUGCAUCCCGUGUGCCCUGCCGUGACGCGCUCCCCUGGCGUGUCUGCUGCUCAGCUCUGAGGGUGGAUGUGCCAGGGCUUGAUGGGACCUUCUCCUGGGUCUGUGGUGGCAGAUGUGGGUACAGAGAGGGCUUCUCCAGCUGCUCAGCUGGGGCUCCCCUGGCGUCGCAGGGCGAGUGGUCCUCAUGGAGCAAAGGAUAAAGCUGAGAGAAGGAAAUCCUCUCACGGGUCAUCGGGCAUCCUGAAGGAGCUGCUGAAGGAGUUGCGGAAGGCAGCACACGCGAUGGACGAGAAGGCGCUCCGGGAAGGAGGGGGUUGGGCAGUGCCCGACUCUGAUGAAGAAAUGGAGGCAACUCAAUCAACAGCGCGCUCCAAGCCCGGGGAAGGCCGCCGCGCCGGGACGGAUGACUCUUUCCCAGAGAGUCCAGGUCUGGAAGACACCAGAAACCUGUUUUCCGUGGACCCUAAAGACUUUCGGAGGCUUUGCACAGAAGGUGCCAUGGCCAUCUUGGGCUCGGUGCUGUUUGGGAUGAUCCUGUGCUGUGGGUUCUGCGUGUGGAAGCAGAGGAAAGAGCGCCUGGCCAAAGCUUCGAGAGCCCAGCACAGCUCCCCCAGCCGCCCCUCGCGCCCCGACAGCCGCUCUGCCCGUGCUGGCACCUCGGAGAGCCGGACCCAGCAGCAGCAGCCGUCGCCUGCGCCUGGAGAAGGGGCCACGGAGAAGCAGGGAGCAGCCCCCGCCAGCCCCGACGGCCGCCCGGCCAUCCCACCCCCCCCCCCGCCUCCCCCCCUGCCCACCUCGGCCAGCCGGCCCGUGGGGACCACCCCCCGCAGAAAGUGAGCCCCCCACGUCCCGCACCCCCAUCCAUACCUAAAGUAGACUCUAGGUCUUCCCCAAAUGGUUAAAACUGUAGGGAUUGGUCUUUUAGAGUAGAAACGUAGCUGGUUUUAGUGACCCUCCUAUAAGGACUUAGGUAAGAAAGGAUGUUUGUGGCCUGGAGAACAAGGACACAAUAAAGAUGGACUUUGUUUGACA